GAAAGGAGACCCGCAGCUAAUGGCUCGGCAGUGAUGCGCCAGGUGUGGGCCUCGCUCGAAUGGGGAGGAGAGUGUGAAAACAGAGAGACACACACACUGGGAAAGGGAGACACCCAGACACAGAGGAUGCAAAUGGAAUUCCGCACACAGAAAAGGGAGCGCUUAAGGCGCGCAGCGAGUUCCACAGGGGCAGCAGGACUUGGUAUUUCUCCAGAGUCAACGAAUUCUGCCACAAACAGUGUGUUCUGGUGGAAAGGUGCUGGCAACCCGGCCCCCCUGCUCUGGUAGUUCGGAAGGAGCCCAGGUUAUUUACUGAGCAGCGGAAGAAGGGAGGAAAAGUCUAAUAACGCAUGAAGCAAGGUAACC
rnacentral:lncRNA from 1 species